rnacentral:rRNA from 1 species
CCUACGGGAGGCAGCAGUGAGGAAUAUUGGUCAAUGGGCGCGAGCCUGAACCAGCCAAGUAGCGUGAAGGAUGACUGCCCUACGGGUUGUAAACUUCUUUUAUAAAGGAAUAAAGUGAGGCACGUGUGCCUUUUUGUAUGUACUUUAUGAAUAAGGAUCGGCUAACUCCGUGCCAGCAGCCGCGGUAAUACGGAGGAUCCGAGCGUUAUCCGGAUUUAUUGGGUUUAAAGGGAGCGUAGAUGGGUUGUUAAGUCAGUUGUGAAAGUUUGCGGCUCAACCGCAAAAUUGCAAUUGAUACUGGCAGCCUUGAGUGCAGUUGAGGUAGGCGGAAUGCGUGGUGUAGCGGUGAAAUGCUUAGAUAUCACGAAGAACUCCGAUUGCGAAGGCAGCUUACUAAACUGCCACUGACGUUGAGGCUCGAAAGUGUGGGUAUCAAACAGGAUUAGAUACCCUGGUAGUC